rnacentral:lncRNA from 1 species
UAAGAUUAUCCAGUCAGAGCAGGAGACUAUUAUCCAAUAAGAGUUGUCAAAAAAAGUUCCUUCUCACCCAAUCAGAACCAAGCUUCCAAGAUACAGCGGUUGAGUACAGCCACUGUAAAAGGGAGGCGAAGGCCCAUUCUGCCAUUUUCUCUUCGUGGAGGUUGGGCUCGCGUGCUGCUCUGCGCUGUGGUCGUCAUGGACCGGAAGCGUGUGCGGCGCGCCUGCCUUGAGGCCAGCAGCAGGGAAGGGUGUUCCCAGGUGCAGAGGAAGUGUCCUUCACGUGUUCCUGGAGGACUUUCGGUUAGCAAGCACUUCUCCAUUCUCCCAACGUCUCGGGCCUGAUGGAGUCUCCUUCUGUCACCCGUUCUGGAGUGCAGUGGCGUGGACUGCAACCUCUGCU